rnacentral:rRNA from 1 species
CACGUAGGGCGCAAGCGUUGUCCGGAAUUAUUGGGCGUAAAGAGCUCGUAGGCGGCUUGUCGCGUCGACUGUGAAAACCCGCGGCUCAACCGCGGGCCUGCAGCCGAUACGGGCAGGCUAGAGUUCGGUAGGGGAGAAUGGAAUUCCCGGUGUAGCGGUGAAAUGCGCAGAUAUCGGGAGGAACGCCGGUGGCGAAGGCGGUUCUCUGGGCCUUACCUGACGCUGAGGAGCGAAAGCGUGGGGAGCGAACAGG